rnacentral:rRNA from 1 species
UACAGGCUUAACACAUGCAAGUCGAGGGGCAGCAUGGUCUUAGCUUGCUAAGACUGAUGGCGACCGGCGCACGGGUGAGUAACACGUAUCCAACCUGCCGUCUACUCUUGGACAGCCUUCUGAAAGGAAGAUUAAUACAAGAUGGCAUCAUGAGUCCGCAUGUUCACAUGAUUAAAGGUAUUCCGGUAGACGAUGGGGAUGCGUUCCAUUAGAUAGUAGGCGGGGUAACGGCCCACCUAGUCUUCGAUGGAUAGGGGUUCUGAGAGGAAGAUCCCCCACAUUGGAACUGAGACACGGUCCAAACUCCUACGGGAGGCAGCAGUGAGGAAUAUUGGUCAAUGGGCGAGAGCCUGAACCAGCCAAGUAGCGUGAAGGAUGACUGCCCUAUGGGUUGUAAACUUCUUUUAUAAAGGAAUAAAGUCGGGUAUGCAUACCCGUUUGCAUGUACUUUAUGAAUAAGGAUCGGCUAACUCCGUGCCAGCAGCCGCGGUAAUACGGAGGAUCCGAGCGUUAUCCGGAUUUAUUGGGUUUAAAGGGAGCGUAGAUGGAUGUUUAAGUCAGUUGUGAAAGUUUGCGGCUCAACCGUAAAAUUGCAGUUGAUACUGGAUAUCUUGAGUGCAGUUGAGGCAGGCGGAAUUCGUGGUGUAGCGGUGAAAUGCUUAGAUAUCACGAAGAACUCCGAUUGCGAAGGCAGCCUGCUAAGCUGCAACUGACAUUGAGGCUCGAAAGUGUGGGUAUCAAACAGGAUUAGAUACCCUGGUAGUCCACACGGUAAACGAUGAAUACUCGCUGUUUGCGAUAUACGGCAAGCGGCCAAGCGAAAGCGUUAAGUAUUCCACCUGGGGAGUACGCCGGCAACGGUGAAACUCAAAGGAAUUGACGGGGGCCCGCACAAGCGGAGGAACAUGUGGUUUAAUUCGAUGAUACGCGAGGAACCUUACCCGGGCUUAAAUUGCAGAUGAAUUACGGUGAAAGCCGUAAGCCGCAAGGCAUCUGUGAAGGUGCUGCAUGGUUGUCGUCAGCUCGUGCCGUGAGGUGUCGGCUUAAGUGCCAUAACGAGCGCAACCCUUGUUGUCAGUUACUAACAGGUUCCGCUGAGGACUCUGACAAGACUGCCAUCGUAAGAUGUGAGGAAGGUGGGGAUGACGUCAAAUCAGCACGGCCCUUACGUCCGGGGCUACACACGUGUUACAAUGGGGGGUACAGAGGGCCGCUACCACGCGAGUGGAUGCCAAUCCCCAAAACCUCUCUCAGUUCGGACUGGAGUCUGCAACCCGACUCCACGAAGCUGGAUUCGCUAGUAAUCGCGCAUCAGCCACGGCGCGGUGAAUACGUUCCCGGGCCUUGUACACACCGCCCGUCAAGCCAUGGGAGCCGGGGGUACCUGAAGUGCGUAACCGCGAGGAGCGCCCUAGGGUAAAACUGGUGACUGGGGCU